AUGGUCCUCUUUGCCUUAUGACAGAACAUAAGGAAGCCAUUUGGAGCACUUAUACUGCAACAACAAAGCCAGACACUUCUAUUUUGAAUAGACUCAUUGAUGCUGGGAUGUCUCCAAGGGUUGAGGAGUCAAUGUCAGUUGUCAAUAAUGAGAUAUUGCGACGGCAUUUCUUGGAACUCACCACCAACUUUUUGGCUCCCUUUGGCCCAUUCUUUAGAGCAAACACACCUUCAGAAGGAUCUUCUCCUUUUGCUGACCCUCCUCCUCUCCCUCCAUUUAGCACUGAUGAAUUCUUGGCAAGCCUAUCAGCAAGAGGUGUGGGGAAGUUCUUAUCAAAGCGGAUGAGAUCUAAUUGGUUGGACUUAUACAGACGGUUUCUAAAAGGACCCAACUUUAUGCCAUGGUUUCAAAGAAGGCGUGCUGUUGCUGAACAAGAACAACAUAGACUAUGGAGGCAAGCAAGAUUGAAGACUGACAUACAACUAUUCCUUUCUAAAAUGUCUGAAUUGGAGGUUGUUGAUUCAUUCAAUGCUAUUGAGAGGCAUCUCAAUGGAGAAAUUGAGCUACGGUCGUCUGGAAGGGCUAGUGCAGACUCUGCAGCAACUUGCCAGAAACUGAAGAAAGAUCUCCAGGCAGUGUUCAAUGUUCUUCCCAAAGACAUGCAGCAGCUUCUGCUCAUGAACCCGGAAAGAGCAGCCCUUCUACAAGGAAUUCCAGAACCAACAAAACUUCCAGGCUAUCCAUCAUUAGAAAUUGGGGUUGCUCCUUCCACUUCACCCAGAUAGUAUGCAAAGCAUGGGUAUGAGCAUGUUGGACCUUGUGCAGUUCUUCUCACAUUGCUGAAGGAUGACAUAGCUUGUAACAAUUGUGUGUCCUUCAUUCAAUCACAGGAUUGGAGAUAAUUUCUCCACUUUGAGCAUGGUUCUUCCCCUUGAUGCAUGAGAAUCACAAUGGUAUAUGCCCUCCCCAAGAGCACUUGAGAUAACCUUUAUUAUUUUGCAGUCAUGCAAACAAAUGGGAUUGUUCCAAGCUUAUGGGAAAUUGGUCUUUGAAUAUCUAAUGAAAAAUGAAGACUGAUGUUGUUUUUGUUCUGAAUUUGUCUACAAGUUGUCAAUCAAUCUGUAUAAUCACUUGGGGCAGAAUUCCCACCUGUAGAUUUUAUACUUCCAACUUUUUUUAGUCCCCUGCACUGGCAGUGCUUGAUGUUUUUUGUCAAGAACAUUGCCUAAAGGAAAUAUUGGUCUUUCUUUUUCCC
rnacentral:misc_RNA from 1 species